ensembl:lncRNA
GAAAGUUUGGUUUGUUUAGAGUAGGGAUAUGCAACACCAGCCCUUGGGGGCCGGCCAGUCGUGUAACACGAUAUUGGUGACCUUAUUUGACCUUUUCUGUCGUGUUUUGAGACAUGGUUCAAUCCCACCCAAGGACACAUGAAUUACAGGAGGAGGGAACCAACUAUGAUUAACUAGUUUUACAGGAGAGGCGGAGACCCACUGUGAUUAACUAGUUUUACAGAAGAGGCGGAGACCCACUGUGAUUAACUAGUUUUACAGAAGAGGCGGGGACCCACUGUGAUUAACUAGUUUUACAGAAGAGGAGUGGACCCACUGUGAUUAACUGAGUGCCUCUUUAGAGCAAGGCAUCUAUAUCCUGUGAGAUGUAAAGAAACAAAAUCUGAAGUUAAACACACUUUCAAUAUUCUACCUUGGCAGUUACAUGCUUCAUGAUCAACACCUAUUUAUUAAUUUCUUCAUGCAACAAACCUAGAUAGUUGUUUUAUGUCUGUUUAGUGUAAACGGUUUGAUAUGGGAAUGUAAAUACAUAGCUUUUUAUUUUCUUAAAAAUGGCACUCCUUUACACCUCAUGUAACACCUGAUUUACUUAACAAGAGGCACAUCUCAAUAGGUGUUCCAGGUAAGUCAUGACAUAACGAAAGUGGGGGCUUUCCUCUUUUGUUCCCUAUUGUUCCUCAAGCAAGAUUAAAUCACAAAUUCCCAUCAGACCAACACCUUGAAUGACUGAAACGUUCUGUCUAAAAAAAACAUUAUUUUGUUAAAAAUGUAUUUUGUAACCUGUGUACUUUACUGUAUUUAUAGUUGGGAUAUUGCUCAAAAGUAAAACAUCUUGCAUUUGGAGGACAUUGUAUUUGCCCUUGUAAUGCUUAUAUAAAGACAACAUGAAAAAACAAGAGAAGAUUUGCUGUACGUUGAGGUUUAAUUUAACAAAAUCAUACUUGAGUAAAAGUAAAGUUACUUAAUAGAAAAGGACUCCAUAGAAGUGAGUUAUCCAGUAAAAUACUACAUGAGUAAAAGUCUAAAAGUAUUUGGUUUUAAAUACACUUAAGUAUCAAAAGUAAAUGUAAUUGCUAAAAUAUACUUAAGUAUCAAAAGUAAAAGUAUAAAUAAUUUCAAAUUCCUUAUGUUAAGCCAACCAGAUGACACAAUGUGUUUUUUCUCUCUCAAAUUUACAGACAGCUAGGGGCACACUCCAACCCUCAGACAUCAUUUACAUAGGAAGAAUGUGUUUAGUGAGUCCGCCAGAUCAGAGGCAGUAGAGAUUCUCCUGAUAAGUGCGUUAAUUGGACCAUUUUCCUUUCCUGCUAAGCAUUCAAAAUGUAAAGAGUACUUUUGGGUGCCAGGGAAAAUGUAUAUAUUUUUUAGGAAUGUAGUGAAGUAAAAGUAAAAGUUGUCAAAAAUAUAAUUAGUAAAUACUUAAGUAGUACUUUAAAGUAUUUUUACCGAAGUACUUUACAGUGAUAUCCAGCAAUUUAUGUACAGAUAAGUAAAAGAAUGGACAGUACCUGUGAAAUAAAUACAAAUCAAA